CAGUUUUUCCCCAUCUUUGUUGACUAGCGUAUUAUAAAUACUCUCAUAAUACCCCUCUUCUUAUCAUGCACACCGAUCUAUGCUCUUCUGCUCUGCUCUGCUCUGGGUGAGAAAUGGAGAAAUUGUGUGUUAUUCUAUGCUUCUUUAUUGUCAUUACAUGCUCUUCUCUUUGUGCAACCUGCUAUCCUUCAUGCUUCCCACAUGAGAGAGAUGUCCUUCUGGCUUUCAAGAAUGAGUAUGAUGAUUACAUGGAUUCAGAUAGAGCCAAGCAAUAUAAGGAGUCAUGGAGAGGGUUUAAUUGCUGCGACUGGUAUGGUGUUCAAUGCACCCAACAUUCCUCCCACGUCAUCGGACUCACCUUCUCCACUAAGCAUACGUAUUGGAUUUCACACAAUCCUUAUGUUUACAAAACACUCAUUCCAGUUUUGUUUCAAUUGCGGCACAUAGAGCAUUUGGACUUGAGCUGGAAUUCUUUCAGUGGCCCUUUACCCAAAGAACUUUUUGGCCUCCAGAAAUUGAGAUAUCUAGAUCUCAGGUACAACCAUUUUGAAGGGGAAAUUCCCAUGGAUAUUGGCUCCCUGCACACCUUGACACACCUUGACUUGAAGUAUAGUGGAUUCCAAGGAAGAGUUCCAUGGCAGCUUGGGAAUCUCUCUCACUUGCAAGUUUUACAUCUUUCAGCAAAUGUGUUAUACA